rnacentral:rRNA from 1 species
CAGAGACCUCAAGCGUUAUCCGGAAUCAUUGGGCGUAAAGCGUACCGAUAGGUGGUUUAGAUAGUUUUGGGUAAAAGCCAGAAGCUUAACUUCUGCGUUUGCUCAAAAUACUUCUAGACUUGAGGGACAAAGAGGUGGCUGGAACGAACGGUGUAGUAGUGAAAUGCGUUGAUAUCGUUCGGAACACCGAAAGCGAAGGCAGGCCACUGGGUGCCACCUGACACUGCUAGGACGAAAGCGUGGGGAGCGAAUGGGAUUAGAUACCCCAGUAGUCCACGCUGUAAACGAUGAAUACUAGGUAUUUGCGAGUAUCGACCCUCGUAUGUACCGUAGCUAACGCGUUAAGUAUUCCGCCUGGGGAGUACGGUCGCAAGACUA